rnacentral:rRNA from 1 species
CACGUAGGGCGCGAGCGUUGUCCGGAAUUAUUGGGCGUAAAGAGCUCGUAGGCGGCCUGUUGCGUCCGCUGUGAAAGCCCGGGGCUUAACCCCCGGGUCGGCAGUGGAUACGGGCAGGCUAGAGGUAGGUAGGGGAGAAUGGAAUUCCCGGUGUAGCGGUGAAAUGCGCAGAUAUCGGGAGGAACACCAGUGGCGAAGGCGGCUCACUGGCCCGGUACUGACGCUGAGGUGCGAAAAGCGUGGGGGAGCAAACAGG